rnacentral:rRNA from 1 species
GAUGCGUAGGGGUUCUGAGAGGAAGGUCCCCCACACUGGUACUGAGACACGGACCAGACUCCUACGGGAGGCAGCAGUGAGGAAUAUUGGUCAAUGGCCGCAGGGCUGAACCAGCCAAGUCGCGUGAGGGAUGACGGUCCUAUGGAUUGUAAACCUCUUUUGUCAGGGAGCAAAGGGCGCCACGUGUGGCGCUUUGCGAGUACCUGAAGAAAAAGCAUCGGCUAACUCCGUGCCAGCAGCCGCGGUAAUACGGAGGAUGCGAGCGUUAUCCGGAUUUAUUGGGUUUAAAGGGUGCGCAGGCGGAAUGUCAAGUCAGCGGUAAAAUUUCGGGGCUCAACCCCGUCGUGCCGUUGAAACUGGCGUUCUUGAGUGAGCGAGAAGUAUGCGGAAUGCGUGGUGUAGCGGUGAAAUGCAUAGAUAUCACGCAGAACUCCGAUUGCGAAGGCAGCAUACCGGCGCUCAACUGACGCUCAUGCACGAAAGCGUGGGUAUCGAACAGGAUUAGAUACCCUGGUAGUCCACGCAGUAAACGAUGAAUACUAACUGUCCGGGCAGAAUGAUGCCUGG